rnacentral:rRNA from 1 species
UACGUAGGGUGCGAGCGUUGUCCGGAAUUACUGGGCGUAAAGAGCUCGUAGGUGGUUUGUCGCGUUGUUCGUGAAAUCUCACGGCUUAACUGUGAGCGUGCGGGCGAUACGGGCAGACUAGAGUACUGCAGGGGAGACUGGAAUUCCUGGUGUAGCGGUGAAUGCGCAGAUAUCAGGAGGAACACCAGUGCGAAGGCGGCUCGCUGGGCCGUAUGACUCUGAGACGACGACGUGGGGAGCAAACAGG